rnacentral:tRNA from 1 species
GCGCCGUUAGCUCAGUUGGUAGAGCAGCUGACUCUUAAUCAGCGGGUCCGGGGUUCGAAACCCUGACGGCGCACU